UAGUCCAAUGAUGAAUGAUUGCCAUGCUAAUUUUGAUUUUUUAUUGAUAAAACUCCUUACAUUUUUUCUGAGGACUAC